AUGGUUAAAACCACAGACGGUGUGGAGGAGCACUCCGGUGUGAAUCCUAACUCGUCUACGGCCGAUGGGGGUACCUCGGUCUCUCAUGAGGAAUUCAAUGUGGCUCUAGACACAUUGAAAAACUCCAUGACGACCAAGAUUGAAAGCAUGUUUACUAAAUUUCUAGAAGGACUUAAACUGUCUACCUCACCGAUGAAAGUGGGUGAUCCCACUGACAAGGUGACGGAUGCUACCUCCAAAAAGGGGGAAGCUAACAGUGAAAAGGGUCCUUCUACUGGUGGUAGAAAUGGCACCGACAUCUUUGCCCAUGUGUAA
rnacentral:rRNA from 1 species